UCCUGGCUCAGAUUGAACGCUGGCGGCAUGCCUUACACAUGCAAGUCGAACGGUAACGGGCCUUCGGGUGCCGACGAGUGGCGAACGGGUGAGUAAUGCAUCGGAACGUACCUUCAGUGGGGGAUAACGUAGCGAAAGUUACGCUAAUACCGCAUAUUCUGUGAGCAGGAAAGCAGGGGAUCGCAAGACCUUGCGCUGAUUGAGCGGCCGAUGUCAGAUUAGCUAGUUGGUGAGGUAAAGGCUCACCAAGGCGACGAUCUGUAGCGGGGUCUGAGAGGAUGAUCCGCCACACUGGAACUGAGACACGGUCCAGACUCCUACGGGAGGCAGCAGUGGGGAAUUUUGGACAAUGGGGGCAACCCUGAUCCAGCCAUGCCGCGUGAGUGAAGAAGGCCUUCGGGUUGUAAAGCUCUUUCGGCCGGGAAGAAAUCGCAUGGGUUAAUACCCUGUGCGGAUGACGGUACCGGCAUAAGAAGCACCGGCUAACUACGUG
rnacentral:rRNA from 1 species